rnacentral:misc_RNA from 1 species
AGACAUGAGAGGAGGAUAGAUGGCCGAGCACCUCCAUUAUCAAGAUUCCUUCGGACUCUUCCUAAAGAGGCGUGUGUUCCUCUCGCGCCUAAGUGGGCCCUCCCCCGCCCAUCUCGUCAUGGACCCCAUAUCCCUCCAUUGCUUGCGCCUGCCACUCCUUCCAUCUCCAAUGAUCUCCUCUAUAAAUUCAGGCAUGACCCAAGAGCAGAGGUAUAGCCAUUUGAUUCAAAAACUCA